rnacentral:rRNA from 2 species
UACGGAGGGAGCUAGCGUUGUUCGGAAUUACUGGGCGUAAAGCGCACGUAGGCGGCUCAGCAAGUCAGGGGUGAAAUCCCGGGGCUCAACCCCGGAACUGCCCUUGAAACUGCUAAGCUAGAAUCCUGGAGAGGCGAGUGGAAUUCCGAGUGUAGAGGUGAAAUUCGUAGAUAUUCGGAAGAACACCAGUGGCGAAGGCGACUCGCUGGACAGGUAUUGACGCUGAGGUGCGAAAGCGUGGGGAGCAAACAGG